CGGAAUCUGCCUAUCUGUGGGGGAUAACGUAGGGAAACUUACGCUAAUACCGCAUACGACCUACGGGUGAAAGCGGAGGACCUUCGGGCUUCGCGCAGAUAGAUGAGCCGAUGUCGGAUUAGCUAGUUGGCGGGGUAAAGGCCCACCAAGGCGACGAUCCGUAGCUGGUCUGAGAGGAUGAUCAGCCACACUGGAACUGAGACACGGUCCAGACUCCUACGGGAGGCAGCAGUGGGGAAUAUUGGACAAUGGGCGCAAGCCUGAUCCAGCCAUGCCGCGUGGGUGAAGAAGGCCUUCGGGUUGUAAAGCCCUUUUGUUGGGAAAGAAAAGCAGUCGGUUAAUACCCGAUUGUUCUGACGGUACCCAAAGAAUAAGCACCGGCUAACUUCGUGCCAGCAGCCGCGGUAAUACGAAGGGUGCAAGCGUUACUCGGAAUUACUGGGCGUAAAGCGUGCGUAGGUGGUUUGUUAAGUCUGAUGUGAAAGCCCUGGGCUCAACCUGGGAAUUGCAUUGGAUACUGGCAGGCUAGAGUGCGGUAGAGGGUAGUGGAAUUCCCGGU
rnacentral:rRNA from 1 species